GUGUACCUACGGGGGGCAGCAGUGGGGAAUAUUGCACAAUGGGGGAAACCCUGAUGCAGCGACGCCGCGUGAGUGAAGAAGUAUUUCGGUAUGUAAAGCUCUAUCAGCAGGGAAGAAACCCACCCUUUGGGGUGGCUGACGGUACCUGACUAAGAAGCCCCGGCUAACUACGUGCCAGCAGCCGCGGUAAUACGUAGGUGGCAAGCGUUAUCCGGAAUUAUUGGGCGUAAAGAGCGCGCAGGUGGUUAAUUAAGUCUGAUGUGAAAGCCCACGGCUUAACCGUGGAGGGUCAUUGGAAACUGGUU
rnacentral:rRNA from 1 species